rnacentral:rRNA from 1 species
AUUGAACGCUGGCGGCAUGCCUAACACAUGCAAGUCGAACGGGGUAGCAAUACCCAGUGGCGGACGGGUGAGGAAUACGUAGGAAUUUGCCCUUAAGUGGGGGAUAGUCCGGGGAAACUCGGUUUAAUACCGCAUGAUCUCGUAAGAGCAAAGCAGGGGAUCGUAAGACCUUGCGCUUUUGGAGAAGCCUACGUCGGAUUAGCUAGUUGGUAGGGUAAUGGCCUACCAAGGCGACGAUCCGUAACUGGUCUGAGAGGACGAUCAGUCACACCGGAACUGAGACACGGUCCGGACUCCUACGGGAGGCAGCAGUGGGGAAUAUUGGACAAUGGGCGAAAGCCUGAUCCAGCAAUGCCGCGUGUGUGAAGAAGGCCUUCGGGUUGUAAAGCACUUUAGGCUGGGAAGAAAAAGCUUCACCUAAUACGUGAAGCCUUGACGGUACCAGCGGAAUAAGCACCGGCUAACUCUGUGCCAGCAGCCGCGGUAA